rnacentral:rRNA from 1 species
AGAGUUUGAUCCUGGCUCAGGUUGAACGCUGGCGGCAUGCCUAACACAUGCAAGUCGAACGGCAGCGCGGGCUUCGGCCUGGCGGCGAGUGGCGGACGGGUGAGGAAUGCAUAGGAAUCUGCCCUGUUGUGGGGGAUAACGUAGGGAAACUUACGCUAAUACCGCAUACGACCUUCGGGUGAAAGUGGGGGACCUUCGGGCCUCACGCGAUGGGAUGAGCCUAUGCCGGAUUAGCUAGUUGGUGGGGUAAUGGCCCACCAAGGCGACGAUCCGUAGCUGGUCUGAGAGGAUGAUCAGCCACACUGGAACUGAGACACGGUCCAGACACCUACGGGUGGCUGC